rnacentral:lncRNA from 1 species
CUAAGCUGCAUGAGUCGGUCUAAGUUGAUGAAGAUGAUGAUGUUCCAAAUUAUUGGAUUAUAUAAGAGGUUGUUGAAUUAAGAUGUUUAAGAGGUCGAGUCCAUGCAUUAGCAUUUCAUUGUUGGGGGCUUGAUGCCCUGGAGCUUUGUACUCAACACGUUGGAGCUUUAGCUCAAUUAGUGAUGGGGGCUUGAUGCCCUAGAAGUAUAUUAAUACUCAAAUAGCGAUGGGGGCUUGAUGCCCUG